rnacentral:rRNA from 1 species
GAUGAACGCUGGCGGCGUGCUUAACACAUGCAAGUCGAACGGAAAGGCCCUGCUUUUGUGGGGUGGUCGAUUGGCGAAGGGGUGAGUAACACGUGAGUAACCUGCACUUGACUUUGGGAUAACUUCAGGAAACUGGGGCUAAUACCGGAUAGGAGCUCUUGCUGCAUGGUGGGGGAUGGAAAGUUUCGGCGGUUGGGGAUGGACUCGCGGCUUAUCAGCUGGAUGGUGGAGUAGUGGCUGACAAAGGCUUUGACGGGUAGCCGGCCUGAGAGCGUGACCGGCGACAUGGGUACUGCGGGAGGGACCAGUCGCCUAUGUUAGGCAGCAGUGGAAAACAUUACAGAGCAGGGGGAAGUCAGAUACAACAACGCUGGGUGCGUGAUGACGUGUUAUGAGUGAAAAACCGCUGUCGCCGGAAACGAGGCGAGAGUGACGGUAACUAAUAAAAAAGCAACGGCUAACUACGUG